AUUAAACCUCAUUUUCCUUAAUGUUAAAACUAGCAAGGGUGAAAGUUUAUUGAGUUUUGGAAUAUAUUAUUAGCAUGAUCCUUUUACAACAAAAAAAUGAUUAAUAAUAUAUUCCAAGGAUCACUGCACAAGGAUUCGAAUUUCGACAUCGUCGACUUGCUCUGGCAGAAGGCAUGGCAAGAGGACCGCUCUGGCAGACAUGCAUCUCCACUGACUCCAGGACCUCCCAAACGCCCAAGGUGAGGAUGCAUGUGGUCAGGUGUAUGGAAUCUGUAGUAUCGCGGUAGAUACAGUUGUUUUGUACAGAGCAAAUCACAUAGCCUGGGAAAUGGCUAUAACUGAAGGAAGGAUUAUUUUGAUCAAGGCGAUGUGAGUGACCAUCACUCGACAUCCAACAAGUCAACCAAGUACAGGCCUGCUGAUGAGAUCAAGCUUUGACGAAAAACGAGGGAUCCCAAUCUCCAGGUUCGGUUCAUGGAAUGGCUGGUGGGGCUAUACUGAAGAGAGUGGACUUAGGAACAAUGUGAGACAUGAGAUUCAACAAGCCAUUCAAGUGGACAUGAGGAUUCCAAAACAAGGGCUCUUGAAGCCUUCAUAGGUGUUUAUGAUCAAAUGCCAACCUUCAUGAGCAGCAGCAUCGCUAUUGGAUAGCAUAAAGAAGCACCCUUCAGACUACCCAAAUGACGUGCUUGUGUUAUCCUAAUGACCACCGGCCGCAUACAUUUCAGAUGUCCGGGGCCAAUGCUGAAGCCUGGAAGUUUGGGA